rnacentral:rRNA from 1 species
AGCAGUAGCCGCGGUAAUACGGAGGGGGCUAGCGUUGUUCGGAAUUACUGGGCGUAAAGCGCACGUAGGCGGCUUGGUAAGUCAGAGGUGAAAGCCUGGAGCUCAACUCCAGAAUUGCCUUUAAGACUGCCGAGCUAGCAGGUGAGAGAGGUAAGUGGAAUUCCGAGUGUAGAGGUGAAAUUCGUAGAUAUUCGGAAGAACACCAGUGGCGAAGGCGGCCAUCUGGGACAACACUGACGCUGAGGCACGAAAGCGUGGGGAGCAGACAGGAUUAGAGACCCCUGUAGUCCCUGUCUCUUAUAC